UUCAUAAUAGAUACGCAUAUGAAAGGUUGCACGUAUGCGUUGCAGAAUGCAGAUUUACAUCUGUUUGACCCUAUCGUGGGACAUAUACCAAAAAAAACAGGGAAGGAGAGAGGGAUGCGCGAGAAACAGAUCCCCCGAUGCCCCUCCUCUCUCCCAAGUCGCCGCCACCAACCGCCUCAUCACCCUCCUCUCCCCCUUGCCGCCGGCCCUCCCCUGCCCUCCUCCCACCUCGCAGCUCCGGAGGCUACCGGAUCCGCCGCAUCACCCACCCACCCACCCACUUAUCCCUCUCACAUCCCAUCUCUCUCUCUUGAUGCGACUCCUCAUUGCGCCACCUGCGGCGGCUGAUUCAGGCGAUGUCCGGCGAAUCCCGCCAUCGCGAAGCACAGCCCGACGUCCCCUCACACCGUGGCGCCCUUCCAUGCGGCUAGAUCCGGCGGUAGCGGCCACCAAAGCCCACCCGGCCGCGACCUUUCCCCGAUGGCUAGGGCUUCGGGCGUCGGCUCAGGCGCCGGUGGCCAUGGCGUCGUCUCGUCCGGUUAUUCAGGUGGAGGUAGUAGCUUGCUAAUGGUGGCUUUCACGUCCAGCGCAAAUACUAGUGGACGUGGACCUGUUGGGGAAAGCACGUACAUCUUUGUGUUUAGUGAGCAGGUUUCCGAAGAAAGAAAUACUCAAUGCCAUUCGGUGGUUUUCAAUGUGCCAGUGUCUACAUUCAUAGUACAUCAUUAAGUUUUACCUUCAACUAAGACUAUUUCCGUUGAGGUGAUUAUUUAUUUAUUCCUUUAUUGCUUAGAUUAGCUCUAACCAUUUUUCAGCCUUCUUUUCUGCUCUUAUUCAACUAUUUAUGUACUCCUAUCUCACCAAUUGUGUACCUAUUGUUGUGUGUAAUUUAAUGUGAGGCGCCGCACUUAUCCGUUCCAGCACUGCCGAGAUGGAGGCGACAUCACGGACGGCUGGAGCUGCGAGUAGAUUUGUCCAAGAUACAGCAGUGUUCGUAGUCAUAGUUCUGAUUCAAAAGAUAUACGGAUGAUUAUAUGGGUGCGUGGCAAGUAUACUGCAAUGAUGAUGAUGAUGUUCCCGGUUCACAAUGAAGACGAUGAUGGCUGUUCUCAGUUUUAGUUUAGUUGUAGGGAUGCUUUUCCUGUUGGAUGAUGUUCCUUGGUUAAGUUUUAGUUUAAGUUGUAGGGAUGUUGAUGGAUGAUUUCAGUUUAAGUUUUGCUGUCAAGAGAAUAUUCAGGUUAUGCAUCACAUUUGGAUGUUAUUCCUCCUGUAAUAUCAACUAUUGUAAUCCCACAG